UACGUAAGGGGCAAGCGUUAUUCGUCAUUAAUGGGUCUAAAGGGUACGUAGGCGGUAUAGUAAAUCAAGUUUUAUUCACCUAAGAGUGAAUUUGGUAAUGCAAUACUAGAGUUUAAGGAAGUAACAAAUACUAGGAGAGGAGUGUAAUAAUACCUGGAUACUCACGGGGUUGCGAAAGCUGGCGAAGGCAUGUUACUAUAAAAGAC
rnacentral:rRNA from 1 species